rnacentral:rRNA from 1 species
AACGUAGGAUCCGAGCGUUGUCCGGAAUCACUGGGUGUAAAGGGUGCGUAGGCGGGCUUGCGCGUCAAGGGUUAAAGACCUCGGCUCAACCGAGGGAAUGCCCUUGAUACGGCGGGGCUUGGGUGCGGGAGAGGAUGGGGGAAUUCCUGGUGUAGGGGUGAAAUGCGUAGAGAUCAGGAGGAACACCGAAGGCGAAGGCAGCCAUCUGGACCGCCACUGACGCUGAGGCACGAAAGCGUGGGGAGCAAACAGG